AGGGUGAUGAAAUUUGGAGUUUACGUCUUUCAUACUUGAUUGCAACCCAACUUCAAUCCAAAUAACUUGGAGGAAUUCCAGGGAUAACAUAUUUCAAUCCCAAGUUUAGAAAAUGAAUAAGGGUCUUCUUUGCCAUGACAUAAUUACAAUUUAUAUAAAGAUCAAGACAGUGAAAUAGAUUAGACCUAAUUUUAGUCCACAAGUUUUUUUUUUCCUUUUCCUUUUCACAACUUCUUUUUGCUUUUUUGUUUUU
rnacentral:misc_RNA from 1 species